UUAAGCGACUAAGCGUACACGGUGGAUGCCCUGGCAGUCAGAGGCGAUGAAGGACGUGCUAAUCUGCGAUAAGCGUCGGUGAGGUGAUAUGAACCGUUAUAACCGGCGAUUUCCGAAUGGGGAAACCCAGUGUGUUUCGACACACUAUCAUUAACUGAAUCCAUAGGUUAAUGAGGCGAACCGGGGGAACUGAAACAUCUAAGUACCCCGAGGAAAAGAAAUCAACCGAGAUUCCCCCAGUAGCGGCGAGCGAACGGGGAGGAGCCCAGAGCCUGAAUCAGUGUGUGUGUUAGUGGAAGCGUCUGGAAAGGCGCGCGAUACAGGGUGACAGCCCCGUACACAAAAAUGCACAUGCUGUGAGCUCGAUGAGUAGGGCGGGACACGUGGUAUCCUGUCUGAAUAUGGGGGGACCAUCCUCCAAGGCUAAAUACUCCUGACUGACCGAUAGUGAACCAGUACCGUGAGGGAAAGGCGAAAAGAACCCCGGCGAGGGGAGUGAAAAAGAACCUGAAACCGUGUACGUACAAGCAGUGGGAGCCUCUUAAUGGGGUGACUGCGUACCUUUUGUAUAAUGGGUCAGCGACUUAUAUUCUGUAGCAAGGUUAACCGAAUAGGGGAGCCGAAGGGAAACCGAGUCUUAACUGGGCGUUAAGUUGCAGGGUAUAGACCCGAAACCCGGUGAUCUAGCCAUGGGCAGGUUGAAGGUUGGGUAACACUAACUGGAGGACCGAACCGACUAAUGUUGAAAAAUUAGCGGAUGACUUGUGGCUGGGGGUGAAAGGCCAAUCAAACCGGGAGAUAGCUGGUUCUCCCCGAAAGCUAUUUAGGUAGCGCCUCGUGAAUUCAUCUCCGGGGGUAGAGCACUGUUUCGGCAAGGGGGUCAUCCCGACUUACCAACCCGAUGCAAACUGCGAAUACCGGAGAAUGUUAUCACGGGAGACACACGGCGGGUGCUAACGUCCGUCGUGAAGAGGGAAACAACCCAGACCGCCAGCUAAGGUCCCAAAGUCAUGGUUAAGUGGGAAACGAUGUGGGAAGGCCCAGACAGCCAGGAUGUUGGCUUAGAAGCAGCCAUCAUUUAAAGAAAGCGUAAUAGCUCACUGGUCGAGUCGGCCUGCGCGGAAGAUGUAACGGGGCUAAACCAUGCACCGAAGCUGCGGCAGCGACACUAUGUGUUGUUGGGUAGGGGAGCGUUCUGUAAGCCUGUGAAGGUGUACUGUGAGGUAUGCUGGAGGUAUCAGAAGUGCGAAUGCUGACAUAAGUAACGAUAAAGCGGGUGAAAAGCCCGCUCGCCGGAAGACCAAGGGUUCCUGUCCAACGUUAAUCGGGGCAGGGUGAGUCGACCCCUAAGGCGAGGCCGAAAGGCGUAGUCGAUGGGAAACAGGUUAAUAUUCCUGUACUUGGUGUUACUGCGAAGGGGGGACGGAGAAGGCUAUGUUGGCCGGGCGACGGUUGUCCCGGUUUAAGCGUGUAGGCUGGUUUUCCAGGCAAAUCCGGAAAAUCAAGGCUGAGGCGUGAUGACGAGGCACUACGGUGCUGAAGCAACAAAUGCCCUGCUUCCAGGAAAAGCCUCUAAGCAUCAGGUAACAUCAAAUCGUACCCCAAACCGACACAGGUGGUCAGGUAGAGAAUACCAAGGCGCUUGAGAGAACUCGGGUGAAGGAACUAGGCAAAAUGGUGCCGUAACUUCGGGAGAAGGCACGCUGAUAUGUAGGUGAAGCGACUUGCUCGUGGAGCUGAAAUCAGUCGAAGAUACCAGCUGGCUGCAACUGUUUAUUAAAAACACAGCACUGUGCAAACACGAAAGUGGACGUAUACGGUGUGACGCCUGCCCGGUGCCGGAAGGUUAAUUGAUGGGGUUAGCGGUAACGCGAAGCUCUUGAUCGAAGCCCCGGUAAACGGCGGCCGUAACUAUAACGGUCCUAAGGUAGCGAAAUUCCUUGUCGGGU
rnacentral:rRNA from 1 species